rnacentral:rRNA from 1 species
UGUCUCAGUUCGGAUUGGAGUCUGCAACCCGACUCCAUGAAGCUGGAUUCGCUAGUAAUCGCGCAUCAGCCACGGCGCGGUGAAUACGUUCCCGGGCCUUGUACACACCGCCCGUCAAGCCAUGGAAGCCGGGAGUGCCUGAAGUGUGCAACCNCAAGGAGCGCCCUAAGGUAAAAACCGGUGACUGGGGCUAAGUCGUAACAAGGUACC